AACGAACGCUGGCGGCAUGCCUAACACAUGCAAGUCGAACGAGACCUUCGGGUAUAGUGGCGCACGGGUGCGUAACGCGUGGGAACCUGCCCUUAGGUUCGGAAUAACUCCCCGAAAGGGGUGCUAAUACCGGAUAAUGUCUUCGGACCAAAGAUUUAUCGCCUUUGGAUGGGCCCGCGUUGGAUUAGCUAGUUGGUAGGGUAAAAGCCUACCAAGGCGACGAUCCAUAGCUGGUCUGAGAGGAUGAUCAGCCACACUGGGACUGAGACACGGCACAGACUCCUACGGGAGGCAGCAGUGGGGAAUAUUGGACAAUGGGCGAAAGCCUGAUCCAGCAAUGCCGCGUGAGUGAUGAAGGCCUUAGGGUUGUAAAGCUCUUUUACCCGGGAUGAUAAUGACAGUACCGGGAGAAUAAGCUCCGGCUAACUCCGUG
rnacentral:rRNA from 1 species